rnacentral:rRNA from 1 species
GACGAACGCUGGCGGCGUGCUUAACACAUGCAAGUCGAACGGAAAGGCCCUGCUUUUGUGGGGUGCUCGAGUGGCGAACGGGUGAGUAACACGUGAGUAACCUGCCCUUGACUUUGGGAUAACUUCAGGAAACUGGGGCUAAUACCGGAUAGGAGCUCCUGCUGCAUGGUGGGGGUUGGAAAGUUUCGGCGGUUGGGGAUGGACUCGCGGCUUAUCAGCUUGUUGGUGGGGUAGUGGCUUACCAAGGCUUUGACGGGUAGCCGGCCUGAGAGGGUGACCGGCCUCAUUGGGACUGCGAUACGGCCCAGACUCCUACGGGAGGCAGCAGUGGGGAAUAUUGCACAGUGGGCGGAAGCCUGAUGCAGCAGCGCCGCGUGCGGGAUGACGGCCUUCGGGUUGUAAACCGCUUUCGCCUGUGACGAAGCGUGAGUGACGGUAAUGGGUAAAGAAGCACCGGCUAACUACGUG